GACGAACGCUGGCGGCGUGCUUAACACAUGCAAGUCGAACGGUGAAGCGCCUUCCUUUUUGGUGGGUGUGGAUGAGUGGCGAACGGGUGAGUAACACGUGAGUAACCUGCCCCCUUCUUCUGGAUAACCGCAUGAAAGUGUGGCUAAUACGGGAUAUUCUGGGUCUGUCGCAUGAUGGGUCUGGGAAAGAUAUUGUUUCGGUGGGGGAUGGGCUCGCGGCCUAUCAGCUUGUUGGUGGGGUGAUGGCCUACCAAGGCGGUGACGGGUAGCCGGCCUGAGAGGGUGGACGGUCACACUGGGACUGAGACACGGCCCAGACUCCUACGGGAGGCAGCAGUGGGGAAUAAUGCACAAUGGGCGCAAGCCUGAUGCAGCGACGCCGCGUGAGGGAUGGAGGCCUUCGGGUUGUGAACCUCUUUCGCCAGUGAAGCAGGCCUGCCUCGUUUGUGGGUGGGUUGACGGUAGCUGGAUAAGAAGCGCCGGCUAACUACGUG
rnacentral:rRNA from 1 species